UUAAGUUAUUAAGGGCGCACGGUGGAUGCCUUGGCACUAGAAGCCGAUGAAGGACGUUACUAACGACGAUAUGCUUUGGGGAGCUGUAAGUAAGCUUUGAUCCAGAGAUUUCCGAAUGGGGAAACCCAGCAUGAGUUAUGUCAUGUUAUCGAUAUGUGAAUACAUAGCAUAUCAGAAGGCACACCCGGAGAACUGAAACAUCUUAGUACCCGGAGGAAGAGAAAGAAAAUUCGAUUCCCUUAGUAGCGGCGAGCGAAACGGGAAGAGCCCAAACCAACAAGCUUGCUUGUUGGGGUUGUAGGACACUCUAUACGGAGUUACAAAGGACGACAUUAGACGAAUCAUCUGGAAAGAUGAAUCAAAGAAGGUAAUAAUCCUGUAGUCGAAAAUGUUGUCUCUCUUGAGUGGAUCCUGAGUACGACGGAGCACGUGAAAUUCCGUCGGAAUCUGGGAGGACCAUCUCCUAAGGCUAAAUACUCUCUAGUGACCGAUAGUGAACCAGUACCGUGAGGGAAAGGUGAAAAGCACCCCGGAAGGGGAGUGAAAUAGAACCUGAAACCGUGUGCUUACAAGUAGUCAGAGCCCGUUAAUGGGUGAUGGCGUGCCUUUUGUAGAAUGAACCGGCGAGUUACGAUUUGAUGCAAGGUUAAGCAGUAAAUGUGGAGCCGUAGCGAAAGCGAGUCUGAAUAGGGCGUUUAGUAUUUGGUCGUAGACCCGAAACCAGGUGAUCUACCCUUGGUCAGGUUGAAGUUCAGGUAACACUGAAUGGAGGACCGAACCGACUUACGUUGAAAAGUGAGCGGAUGAACUGAGGGUAGCGGAGAAAUUCCAAUCGAACCUGGAGAUAGCUGGUUCUCUCCGAAAUAGCUUUAGGGCUAGCCUCAAGUGAUGAUUAUUGGAGGUAGAGCACUGUUUGGACGAGGGGCCCCUCUCGGGUUACCGAAUUCAGACAAACUCCGAAUGCCAAUUAAUUUAACUUGGGAGUCAGAACAUGGGUGAUAAGGUCCGUGUUCGAAAGGGAAACAGCCCAGACCACCAGCUAAGGUCCCAAAAUAUAUGUUAAGUGGAAAAGGAUGUGGCGUUGCCCAGACAACUAGGAUGUUGGCUUAGAAGCAGCCAUCAUUUAAAGAGUGCGUAAUAGCUCACUAGUCGAGUGACACUGCGCCGAAAAUGUACCGGGGCUAAACAUAUUACCGAAGCUGUGGAUUGUCCUUUGGACAAUGGUAGGAGAGCGUUCUAAGGGCGUUGAAGCAUGAUCGUAAGGACAUGUGGAGCGCUUAGAAGUGAGAAUGCCGGUGUGAGUAGCGAAAGACGGGUGAGAAUCCCGUCCACCGAUUGACUAAGGUUUCCAGAGGAAGGCUCGUCCGCUCUGGGUUAGUCGGGUCCUAAGCUGAGGCCGACAGGCGUAGGCGAUGGAUAACAGGUUGAUAUUCCUGUACCACCUAUAAUCGUUUUAAUCGAUGGGGGGACGCAGUAGGAUAGGCGAAGCGUGCGAUUGGAUUGCACGUCUAAGCAGUAAGGCUGAGUAUUAGGCAAAUCCGGUACUCAUUAAGGCUGAGCUGUGAUGGGGAGAAGACAUUGUGUCUUCGAGUCGUUGAUUUCACACUGCCGAGAAAAGCCUCUAGAUAGAAAAUAGGUGCCCGUACCGCAAACCGACACAGGUAGUCAAGAUGAGAAUUCUAAGGUGAGCGAGCGAACUCUCGUUAAGGAACUCGGCAAAAUGACCCCGUAACUUCGGGAGAAGGGGUGCUCUUUAGGGUUAACGCCCAGAAGAGCCGCAGUGAAUAGGCCCAAGCGACUGUUUAUCAAAAACACAGGUCUCUGCUAAACCGUAAGGUGAUGUAUAGGGGCUGACGCCUGCCCGGUGCUGGAAGGUUAAGAGGAGUGGUUAGCUUCUGCGAAGCUACGAAUCGAAGCCCCAGUAAACGGCGGCCGUAACUAUAACGGUCCUAAGGUAGCGAAAUUCCUUGUCGGGUAAGUUCCGACCCGCACGAAAGGCGUAACGAUUUGGGCACUGUCUCAACGAGAGACUCGGUGAAAUCAUAGUACCUGUGAAGAUGCAGGUUACCCGCGACAGGACGGAAAGACCCCGUGGAGCUUUACUGUAGCCUGAUAUUGAAAUUCGGCACAGCUUGUACAGGAUAGGUAGGAGCCUUUGAAACGUGAGCGCUAGCUUACGUGGAGGCGCUGGUGGGAUACUACCCUAGCUGUGUUGGCUUUCUAACCCGCACCACUUAUCGUGGUGGGAGACAGUGUCAGGCGGGCAGUUUGACUGGGGCGGUCGCCUCCUAAAAGGUAACGGAGGCGCUCAAAGGUUCCCUCAGAAUGGUUGGAAAUCAUUCAUAGAGUGUAAAGGCAUAAGGGAGCUUGACUGCGAGACCUACAAGUCGAGCAGGGUCGAAAGACGGACUUAGUGAUCCGGUGGUUCCGCAUGGAAGGGCCAUCGCUCAACGGAUAAAAGCUACCCCGGGGAUAACAGGCUUAUCUCCCCAAGAGUUCACAUCGACGGGGAGGUUUGGCACCUCGAUGUCGGCUCAUCGCAUCCUGGGGCUGUAGUCGGUCCCAAGGGUUGGGCUGUUCGCCCAUUAAAGCGGUACGCGAGCUGGGUUCAGAACGUCGUGAGACAGUUCGGUCCCUAUCCGUCGUGGGCGUAGGAAAUUUGAGAGGAGCUGUCCUUAGUACGAGAGGACCGGGAUGGACAUACCUCUGGUGUACCAGUUGUCGUGCCAACGGCAUAGCUGGGUAGCUAUGUGUGGACGGGAUAAGUGCUGAAAGCAUCUAAGCAUGAAGCCCCCUCAAGAUGAGAUUUCCCAACUUCGGUUAUAAGAUCCCUCAAAGAUGAUGAGGUUAAUAGGUUCGAGGUGGAAGCAUGGUGACAUGUGGAGCUGACGAAUACUAAUCGAUCGAAGACUUAAUCAA
rnacentral:rRNA from 1 species